UGGGGAAUAUUGCACAAUGGGGGAAACCCUGAUGCAGCGACGCCGCGUGAGCGAAGAAGGUUUUCGAAUCGUAAAGCUCUGUCCUAUGAGAAGAUAAUGACGGUAUCAUAGGAGGAAGCCCCGGCUAAAUACGUGCCAGCAGCCGCGGUAAUACGUAUGGGGCGAGCGUUGUCCGGAAUUAUUGGGCGUAAAGGGUACGUAGGCGGUCUAUUAAGUCAGGUGUGAAAGCGUGAGGCUUAACCUCAUUAAGCACUUGAAACUGAUAGACUUGAGUGAAGGAGAGGAAAGUGGAAUUCCUAGUGUAGCGGUGAAAUGCGUAGAUAUUAGGAGGAAUACCGGUGGCGAAGGCGGCUUUCUGGACUUAUACUGACGCUCAGGUACGAAAGCGUAGGGAGCAAACAGG
rnacentral:rRNA from 1 species